GUUGAAAGAUUUUUUACCACUCUACGUUGAAUCUCUCAAGACUCAAUUGUAGUAUAGUAAAGGGUUUUGUCGUAUCCACAGGGAGGUGUAAUACUUAUGCCGUUCAAUAGCUAACAGACUUAAAUGAUGGUUUACAAAUAUAUUGGGUGUUUGUUUAAAAACAUAAAAACAUAAAUAAAGAAGAUAAAAGAGUUGGAUUCACCAAGGUAGAUAGUUUUGCUGAGAUUAGAGUUUCGUUAUCUGACCUCUAUGUAUUCUAUUGAUUCACAUACAAAUAUAGUUCUAUGAAAUUGAUUCCUCCCACCAUUUCUUAUCUUACUACCCAGUCCCCCGGCGUAGAAAAUUAUCAACUCAGCUAUAUUAACCCUCAAUCCCUUGAUCGAUUAACAAUAGUGAGUAGCAUUAAGCAUGGAUGUUUGAAUGGACUAAUGAUCUAACCCUAUCCCUAGACCUUAGAAUCAUUAGAUGAUUUUACCUAUUUCAGGUUUAAAUAGCUAGUUCCCACCAUCCUAUUAAACCUAAAUUCAUGUUCUAGGUGAUCAAUCCAAAACAAGCAUAAUGCACAAGGUAAAAUCAUUGAAUCAUGGCAAAGAUACAUAUGAUUAACUCUAGUUCAGACUCAAGAACGUGUGAGUUCCCUACACAAGUUUGAAUCAAUCAAAAUACCCAAGGGGAUCAACCUAAGAUAUAGCAUGAAGCAAAAGAGAAAACCAUUGAUUCUUUAACAUAGAAACAUCAAAUUUGCAUGAAAGGAAAUCAAAUAGAUUACAUGAGCAUCAAAACAACUAGUUCCAAUCCCAACAAAUGAGAAAUUAGCUAUCCAUUUCCAUGGAUAGCUUUACAAUCAUAAAAGAGAAGAAGAACGAUGAAAAACCGAAUACGUGACGGUUCCCCGGCGAUGAAAUCGGCUCUAAAGCCUUCUCCCAAGUCUCCUAUACCUCCCUUGAUGCUCUCCUUCGAGUUCUAUCUUUCCCAAAGUUGUGGGUUUCAGUUCUGGUCCCAGAAGUUCUCCUCUGUUAUGAUUUAAAUUUUCCUUUUAAAUUGCAAAUCUGGCACGAUCGCUCAGCCCCUUUUCUGGUCGCUCAGCGCCCUGUUACUUUAGGGAUGGGUUUUCUUUAACCGCCUUGAAGACGCUUUGCCCCUUUCUUGGCCGCUCAGCCCUUUUCUGACAGGAUAAAAGGAGCUCAGCUGGUUUUUAAAGGGCUCAGCUGGUUUUUAAAGGGCUCAGCUGAUUUUUCCCAAACCUUCCAAAACUCUUUAUCUUUUCACCAAAUCUUCAUCUCUUCACUAGAUUCAUGUCCCUACAACAACAAUUGAGAUUGGAUCUCCAUUUAAACACAUUCUAAUCAAAAUAGAGUCAAUUUGCAAGAUAAUUUCCAUAAAUCACAUAGACAAGUGCCUUAAUAACAAUGGAAAACUACGUAAAAUUGGCACUUAUCAACUCCUCCCAACUUAGCACUUUGUUUGUCCUCAAACAAAAGGUAAUGACUUAAAUCAAACAAGCAUGACUUAAACUUUUUCAAAGCUCAAUUUGCAAGAUCUCACAAAGAUUGAAUCAAUGAUCCAAAACAGAAACAUGAUGCCCACAAGAGAAUGCAUGACAUUAAUACAACUACUUAUGCAACAUGAAACUCAAUAGGCAUGCAGUCAAUUACUCUUGAUCAGGGAACCACUCAAUCGAGUCAGGAUAUAGCAUGUAAAUCAGGCAAGGUAUGUGUUUCGCUCAUGUACAUCACUGAAUCACAUAAGUCAAGAUUGUUACUUGUCUCCUCAAUCAUCAAAACUACAUGUGAAAUCAAGGAUCACUAAGGUCUUUACAGGGUUGUAAUGAGGCUAGGCUUCAAAGAGUUUUGUUUUUCAGGAUAUGCAAAGAAACUCAACAAGGCAAGAGAGAAAUCACACUUUACAUUCAUGAUAUUCACUCCCCUCAACUUGCUUUAAACCAACUCCCAUUCACCAUGUUCAAUUCAACUCAACUCUUUGUUUUCUCAUCAAUCUCUUCUUUAUUCUCUUUUUGUUCUUGUUGCAUUUUUUUUCUUUCUAUUUUUGCCCUUUUCUUUUCUUUUCAAGCAUACUCACAUUUGAAAAUGUUUACAAAUACAUUGAAUCUGAAAUUGCACAAAAAAUUCAGCUCAAGAGCCUUCUCCCCCCAACUUGCAUACAACUCACACUAGUGAAUGCUCUCUUAGCCUAUCGAGCUUAGGAAAGUCGUUGUUUUUCUUUUAGGGAUAGGGUUAUAGUGAAGAACAAUACACAAAACAUUCAACAUUCAGGCUCAAAGGGGUAACAAAUGGACUUCUAUUGAAAUAGGAAGGCUAUUUAGCUAAGUAGCUAUAUAUACAUAACAAAAUAUGCCUUGAUCCUUUCCUAUCAAUUCCAUGCAGCCAAUGAUAUCAGAGACUCAAACAAAAUCAACCAUGCAAAGAAGUGAUGCUCUCUCAACUCACAGUGUAUAGGAACACUCCCUCACAGGCUAAAAAGUUUCAAAUAACCCUGAUUUUCAAGUAAUUUUCAUGUUAUGCUUCAAGAAUUCCAAGUGAAUCAUGCAAUCAUAUCAAGUCAUGGAAUCAAUGAGUGCAAGCACAAUUUCAAUCAUGGAAUCAUUCAUUUUUGUAGCAUAAAUCAAGCAAUUCUUACAAUAGUCAUGCAAGUAUUGAAACAGUCAGGGAAUCAUGGAAACCGGAACACGAGUGCUAUAUAUAAACUACACGAUUAAAAGGAAACUAAAAACGGUGAAAAAAGGACUCCCUCAUGAUGUGAAUGCUUUGAACCAAGCUCUCUACUUAAAUCUUUGAUCUCUUUCUCCCUCCAUGGGAAUUGGACUGUCCUCAGGCCAAAUUGCAUGAUUCACCUAUUAAUCUGCCUUACAGUCACUAAAUAACAGGUUAGAGUACAAGAGAUAAAUGAGAAUAUCAAAGCAUUGAAACAACUCAAACCCUAGUCCAUAUGAAAAUAGAUUUCAAGAGCUUUCCAAAGAGUGGUCAUUGGUUUAAAUCCAAUAAGAAAUGAAGAAGUUAUGCUCAUUUGAAUAAAAGAGUGAAUUGCUGAUAAGGGGGUGGCGCUGAGCGGCCUCUGCAUAGCGCUGAGCGGUCGACAUCAGAGUUUGAGGCCGCUGAGCCCUAUCAGAUGGACGCUGGGCGCCCUGUGCAAUGUAAAAACUCAAGUAAACUCAAAACCCACAACUCGAUCGGUCCAAUUUUGAGUUCUACACUUCCCGAUCAUGCCAAUUGAUUUAUUCACAUUCAUAUAUCAUUUAAAACUUGUCCAAGCCCUAAAAUUUAACAAUCAAGCAUAAUUUAGCAAAGAUUCACAAUCCAAGUCUUCCAAAGACAAGUUUCCAUGCUUUUUCACAACUUGAUAGGCCAUAAUUUGAUAUAUUCAUUUCUAGUACAUGCCGCUUAGUCCAAGCACACAUAAAUACCCUAAGAAACUUGUGCGUACCUAAAAAUUAGCAAUUGAAGCACAUUUAGCACAAAAGUCAUUCUAGGUUCCAUUAAUGGUCAAAUUUCAUGAUUUCACAACUCAACACCUUAUCUUUUUCAUUGCUCAAAUUCCUUGCAUUCUAUGCCUCAUAAUCACUCAUCCAUGUCAUUUAAAACUUGUGGAGAGCCUUAUAACACACAAUUGAAGCACAUUUUCUCAUGACAUACUCCAUAGACCAUACAAGAGCAAAUUGACCUUCAAUUUUGAAAUUUCAUCACAUCAUCAAAGGGUUCACUACAAAACUAUUCUUAAACUUGAAAAACAACACUAAUUCACACAUGAGAUGGUUCAUAAGUAAUGGGAAGCACGAUUUCACAAUUUAUGCAGAAAAUGGCUAGGAGAGACUAGUUUUUCAUCCGAAACUCACAACCACAAACCCCGAAUUUUGCAAAACACUCAAACCAUACACACCAACCAUCCAUAUGCAUGCUAAAUCUAAAUUUGGACUUGUUACAACUCUCAAUUGCAGAUUUUGAAAAGAAAUUUCACAUGAUCCAAAUUUCAGUAAGUUUUCAUGCAUUUUCACAAGUCAAUCCCUCAAAUUCCAAAUUCAUCAUUUUCAUUGCUUCCAAAACCUUUAAACACACUCAAUAUAUCUAUCAAAACUUGUGAAGCACCUUAAAGCACAAAUUUAAUCAAACCUUCACAAAAUCACUACCCUAGUUCUAAAAGCACAAUAAAAACAAUAAAAAACUGGGUUGCCUCCCGGGAAGCGCUUGUUUAACGUCAUUAGCUUGACGCAAACACAAUCAAGGUGACCAUAAACAAGGGUUAUAAUAUAACCCCUUCCGCUUCUUAGGCCGUUUGACUUGGAUUUCAUUUAAAUUCCUAUCAAAAGCUUUCCAAGCCAGCAAAAGUUUUUUAUUUCUCUUCAUUUUCUCAACCCAAACCAAUUCACCUACACUCAACUCACAUGCCAAGCUAUUUACAUGCAUAUGAAUGAAUGCGAAUUUACAAUUCUUUGAAGAAUUGGAUUCAGUCAGCUCAUCAAACCUAUCACCAAAUACAACGUCUAUAUGCUCAACAUUAAGAAUUUCAUCAUUGUGUUGGUGAUGUGAUAUACUAUCAAAUUCUUCAAAGCUUACCUCAUCCUCUUCACGUUUUACCGUUGGAGGGCUUGAAGAAAUCGGUAAGUGGUGAAGGGUUGGAUCAUUUUCUUCUUUUUUUGAUUUUUUCUCUUCUUCCUCACUUUCUUCCACUUCCCCUUGUGCUUCAACCACAUCUCUUCCAUGUUCAGCUACCAUGGUAGCUAGCUUUCCAAUUUGAUCCUCCAAGUUUUUGAUCGAAGCCUCGGUAUUCCUUUGAUUAAUCAUUGACAAUUGCAUGAAUUGCACCAAGGUAUUCUCAAGCUUGGAAAUCCUAUCCUCUUCAGAGGGGUAGAAUGACUGAGAUGGUUGAUCCAUUUAAAGAAGUUGGUGAUUUAGAAGCUUCUUGUUGAUUCUCCUCUUGAGCUAGAUAACUAACACAAGAGAUUAGUAACAACAAGAAAAGUAAACAGAAAACAAAAACUGUACACUAUAUUCACAAUCAUUCAAGAAUGAAAACUACUGCAAUGCAAUUAGUAUUGACACACCUCCCCGGCAACGGCGCCAUUUUGUUGAAAGAUUUUUUACCACUCUACGUUGAAUCUCUCAAGACUCAAUUGUAGUAUAGUAAAGGGUUUUGUCGUAUCCACAGGGAGGUGUAAUACUUAUGCCGUUCAAUAGCUAACAGACUUAAAUGAUGGUUUACAAAUAUAUUGGGUGUUUGUUUAAAAACAUAAAAACAUAAAUAAAGAAGAUAAAAGAGUUGGAUUCACCAAGGUAGAUAGUUUUGCUGAGAUUAGAGUUUCGUUGUCUGACCUCUAUGUAUUCUAUUGAUUCACAUACAAAUAUAGUUCUAUGAAAUUGAUUCCUCCCACCAUUUCUUAUCUUACUACCCAGUCCCCCGGCGUAGAAAAUU
rnacentral:lncRNA from 1 species